rnacentral:rRNA from 1 species
UACGUAGGGAGCAAGCGUUGUCCGGAAUCAUUGGGCGUAAAGCGCGCGUAGGUGGCUUCGUAAGUCCGUUGUGAAAGUCAAAGGCUCAACCUUUGAAUGCCGAUGGAUACUGCGGAGCUAGAGUACGGAAGAGGCGAGUGGAAUUCCUGGUGUAGCGGUGGAAUGCGCAGAUAUCAGGAGGAACACCAAUAGCGAAGGCAGCUCGCUGGGACGUUACUGACACUAAGGCGCGAAAGCGUGGGGAGCGAACGAGGA